GUGUUCGUUAUUUAGGGCGCAUGGUGGAUGCCUUGGCAUGCUGAGCCGAUGAAGGACGUGUAAGGCUGCGUUAAGCCUCGGGGAGUUGUCAAUAAAGCGUUGAUCCGAGGAUGUCCGAAUGGGGAAACCUGGCACCUGUUAUGGGGUGUUACCCUUCAGUGAAUUCAUAGCUGUUGUGGGGGUUUACGCGGGGAAGUGAAACAUCUCAGUACCCGUAGGAGAAGAAAAUAAAAUUAUGAUUCUGCUAGUAGUGGCGAACGAACGUGGAUGAGGCUAAACCGUGUGCAUGUGAUACUUGGUAGGGGUUGUGUGUGCGGUGUUGUGGGCCCCAAUGGGCGGUGACUACCAUCAUCGUGCUUGUGUGUUGUUGUUAGGUGAAGUGGUGUGGAAACGCCGACCGUAGAGGGUGAUAGUCCCGUAGUUGAAGGCUUCAAUGUGCAAGUUGUUGGGUUGCCCGAGUAGCAGCGGGCUCGUGGAAUCUGCUGUGAAUCUGCCGGGACCACCCGGUAAGCCUAAAUACUCAGUGUGACCGAUAGUGUAUUAGUACCGUGAGGGAAUGGUGAAAAGUACCCCGGGAGGGGAGUGAAAUAGUUCCUGAAACCAUGUGCUUACAAUCCGUCAGAGCACCUUUUUGUGUGUGAUGGCGUGCCUUUUGAAGAAUGAGCCUGCGAGUCAGCGGCAUGUCGCGAGGUUAACCCGUGUGGGGUAGCCGUAGGGAAACCGAAUCCUAAUGGGGUGUUGUCAGUGGCAUGUCCUGGACCCGAAGCGGGGUGAUCUACCCAUGGCCAGUGUGAAGCAGUAGUAAGAUGCUGUGGAGGCGCGAACCCACGUAGGUUGAAAACUGCGGGGAUGAGCUGUGGGUAGGGGUGAAAGGCCAAUCAAACUCCGUGAUAGCUGGUUCUCCCCGAAAUGCAUUUAGGUGCAGCGUCGCAUUAGCUUGGUGGAGGUAGAGCUACUGGUUGGUUGAGCGGGACUACAAUCUUAGCAAUGUCAGCCAAACUCCGAAUGCCAUCAAUUGUGUUGUGCGGCAGUGAGACUGUGGGGGAUAAGCUUCAUAGUCGAGAGGGAAACAGCCCAGAUCGCCGGUUAAGGCCCCUAAGGGUGUGCUAAGUGGAAAAGGAUGUGGGAUCGCGAAGACAGCCAGGAGGUUGGCUUAGAAGCAGCCAUCCUUGAAAGAGUGCGUAAUAGCUCACUGGUCGAGUGGUCCUGCGCCGACAAUGUAGUGGGGCUCAAGCACACCGCCGAAGCCGCGGCAAUACUUUUUGUAUUGGGUAGGGGAGCGUCGUGCAUGUGUUGAAGCGUUACCGUGAGGAGGCGUGGAGUGUGUGCGAGUGAGAAUGCAGGCAUGAGUAACGAAUUGGAAGGUGAGAAUCCUUCCCGCCGGUUGACUAAGGGUUCCUGGGUCAAGUUCGUCUUCCCAGGGUGAGUCGGGACCUAAGGCGAGGCCGACAGGCGUAGUCGAUGGAUAACCAGUUGAUAUUCUGGUACCCGUAUAUCCGCGCCCAUGAUGAAGCACUGAUACUAACCACCGCGGAUGCGACUGGGGUGUUCUUUGAACACGUUGGUUGUUGAUGUCGUGGGGCCUGAUGUGUGGUUCAAGUGAUGGGGUGACACAGUGUAGUAGCCAUGCCGCUGAGUGGAUUGUUGGUGUAAGCGUGUGAGGUGGUGUGUAGGCAAAUCCGCACACCGAGUAAGCCUGAGGCGUGAUGCGUAGCCCAUUGGGGUGAAGUUGGUGAUCUAGUACUGUCGAGAAAAGCCUCUAGCGAUGUGGAUGUAUGGCCCGUACCCUAAACCGACACAGGUGGUCAGGUUGAAAAUACUAAGGCGUUCGGGUGAACUGUGGUUAAGGAACUCGGCAAAAUGCCCCCGUAACUUCGGGAGAAGGGGGACCACACGACUUAAGCCAACCAAAGCGUUGGUGUGGGUUGUGGGGUCGCAGAGAAUAGAGGGAAGCGACUGUUUAUCAAAAACACAGGUCCAUGCGAAGACGUUAAGUUGAUGUAUAUGGACUGACGCCUGCCCGGUGCUGGAAGGUUAAGAGGACCGGUUAGUAGUCUUUGACUGCGAAGCUGAGAAUUUAAGCCCCAGUAAACGGCGGUGGUAACUAUAACCAUCCUAAGGUAGCGAAAUUCCUUGUCGGGUAAGUUCCGACCUGCACGAAUGGCGUAACGACUUCUCUGCUGUCUCAACCACAGGCCCGGUGAAAUUGCACUACGAGUAAAGAUGCUCGUUACGCGCGGCAGGACGAAAAGACCCCGGGACCUUCACUAUAGCUUGGUAUUGGUGUUCGGUUCGGUUUGUGUAGGAUAGGUGGGAGACUGUGAUGCAUGCACGCCAGUGUGUGUGGAGUCGUUGUUGAAAUACCACUCUGAUCGGAUUGGAUGUCUAACCUUGGCCCAUGAUCUGGGUUGGGGACAGUGCCUGGUGGGUAGUUUAACUGGGGCGGUUGCCUCCCAAAAUGUAACGGAGGCGCCCAAAGGUUCCCUCAGCCUGGUUGGCAAUCAGGUGGUGAGUGUAAGUGCACAAGGGAGCUUGACUGUGAGACAGACAUGUCGAACAGGGACGAAAGUCGGGACUAGUGAUCCGGCACCUACUUGUGGAUGUGGUGUCGCUCAACGGAUAAAAGGUACCCCGGGGAUAACAGGCUGAUCUUCCCCAAGAGUCCAUAUCGACGGGAUGGUUUGGCACCUCGAUGUCGGCUCGUCGCAUCCUGGGGCUGGAGUAGGUCCCAAGGGUUGGGCUGUUCGCCCAUUAAAGCGGCACGCGAGCUGGGUUCAGAACGUCGUGAGACAGUUCGGUCUCUAUCCGCCGCGCGCGUUGAAACUUGAAGAAGGCUGUCCCUAGUACGAGAGGACCGGGACGGACGUACCUCUAGUGUGCCAGUUGUUCCGCCAGGAGCAUGGCUGGUUGGCUACGUACGGAAGGGAUAACCGCUGAAAGCAUCUAAGCGGGAAGCCUGUUUUAAGAUGAGGUUUCAUUUGAGGUCCCCCAAAGACGAUGGGGUUGAUAGGCCAGACCUGGACGCACCGCAAGGUGUGAAGGCUACUGGUACUAAUAGACCAAAACAAACACACACACCCAUCUAGGGUGUGUUGAC
rnacentral:rRNA from 1 species